AUUGAACGCUGGCGGCAGGCCUAACACAUGCAAGUCGAGCGGAUGAAGGGAGCUUGCUCCUGGAUUCAGCGGCGGACGGGUGAGUAAUGCCUAGGAAUCUGCCUGGUAGUGGGGGAUAACGUCCGGAAACGGGCGCUAAUACCGCGUACGUCCUGAGGGAGAGAGUGGGGGAUCUUCGGACCUCACGCUAUCAGAUGAGCCUAGGUCGGAUUAGCUAGUUGGUGGGGUAAAGGCCUACCAAGGCGACGAUCCGUAACUGGUCUGAGAGGAUGAUCAGUCACACUGGAACUGAGACACGGUCCAGACUCCUACGGGAGGCAGCAGUGGGGAAUAUUGGACAAUGGGCGAAAGCCUGAUCCAGCCAUGCCGCGUGUGUGAAGAAGGUCUUCGGAUUGUAAAGCACUUUAAGUUGGGAGGAAGGGCAGUAAGUUAAUACCUUGCUGUUUUGACGUUACCAACAGAAUAAGCACCGGCUAACUUCGUG
rnacentral:rRNA from 1 species